AACGUAGGAGGCGAGCGUUAUCCGGAUUUACUGGGCGUAAAGCGCGUGCAGGCGGUUCAGCAAGUUGGAUGUGAAAGCUCCUGGCUCAACUAGGAGAGGUCGUUCAAUACUACUGAACUUGAGGGCAUCAGAGGAAGGUGGAAUUCCGGGAGUAGUGGUGAAAUGCGUAGAUAUCCGGAGGAACACCAGUGGCGAAGGCGACCUUCUGGGAUGUUCCUGACGCUCAGACGCGAAGGCUAGGGUAGCAAACGGG
rnacentral:rRNA from 1 species